UACAGGGGGUGCAAACGUUGCUCGGAAUCAUUGGGCGUAAAGCGCACGUAGGCGGUUCGUUAUGUCGGAUGUGAAAGCCCUUGGCUUAACCGAGGAAGUGCAUCCGAAACUGGCGAGCUAGAGUACGAAAGAGGAUCGCGGAAUUCCCGGUGUAGAGGUGAAAUUCGUAGAUAUCGGGAGGAACACCGGUGGCGAAGGCGGCGAUCUGGGUCGAUACUGACGCUGAGGUGCGAAAUCGUGGGGAGCAAACAGG
rnacentral:rRNA from 1 species